rnacentral:rRNA from 1 species
AACGUAGGACGCAAGCGUUAUCCGGAAUUACUGGGCGUAAAGCGCGUGUAGGUGGUUGCAUAAGUCACUGUUGAAAGCUCCCGGCUAAACUGGGAGAGGUGCGGUGAGACUGUGCGGCUAGAGUAUGGGAGAGGGAUGCAGAAUUCCGGGUGUAGUGGUGAAAUGCGUAGAGAUCCGGAGGAAUACCGGUGGCGAAGGCGGCAUCCUGGACCGGCAUUGACGCUGAGGCGCGAAAGCCAGGGGAGCAAACGGG